rnacentral:lncRNA from 1 species
AAUUCCAUUGCUGGUCACCUCAUUCUGGAAUUAAAAUGUUUCAUGAUUUUUUUUUUUCUUCCUGGUAGUAAUAAAAAAUCUCACUAAAUCUUAACACCUCUGCUCAGCGAGUCAUAGGCCAAUGCCGUGGAUAGGGUUGCCGUGGAUAGGGUGGGGUAGCGGUGGUUCUCAAUGAAGAAUCUGUGUGUUCUUAUCACCCGGAAGGUGAGGAACGCUGGUUAUACUGCAGCACUUUAAUCUGAAGGGCAAGACUGUAACUUGAUUUACCUAACAAGCUGUUGAUGAUCCACACGUAUUUUUAUUUAAUCUCUCUUACAGUACUAGGGACCACUGUAAAUUUCUUGAGAUGAUUUGUAUUUUUUUUUUUUUUUAGUGUCAUGAAAUUCAUUAAUAUGCCUAUAAAGAAACUGUAUCCACUUGAUCUCUGAAAAUGUACAUGUAUAUUUCUGUUCUGCAUCCUGGGGUUUUGGUUUGAUUUUUUGUUUUGUUUUUUUUGUUUUUAACUUGAUAUAAGUGCAUUUUUACUGUGAUAACCUAAGUGCACUGGAGCACUGCUCAGAAGAGGCAGCCUGGGGAGCUGCCUUGUGUAUGAAGAGUCUGGAGGUCUCUACUGCUACUCAGACCUUUGGUAUGUAACCGAGUCAGCUCUAGCGAGGACCGUCUAGGUGAAGUGAAUUCCUGUGCUCUGAAAUGCCACUUGGGGACUCUGGAGAAUGAAGGACAGUUUACUUCGGGGGCUUUGCUGGUUUCUGCAGUGCUGGGAAACACUGCCUUUCUGACGUUGCUGUACCUCACAAGGUAAUAGAGGCCCUGCCUACUUAUAAUAACUGUUCCUGACUAUUUGGUCGGGCACUAAGGAGUGAUACCAACCAAGGGAAGCCGAACCUGCAUUGAGCCACUGGCAGAGGCUGGUGACAGGGAGAGCCCUGGAGCUACUGAGGCUGACCUCUGCCUUGUGCUUGUAGCUUCCACUGAUGCCAACUUGAGGUGCCCUGGAGGGGCCUACACUCUGGAGAAAGAAGAGAAGGAAGGGAAGAAAGAAGAAAGAAAGAGCCCUUUCCUUGCCCAUGCCUGGCUACCUCCAAGAAAGCCCAGCCAGAGAUUUGGGUGGGGUAUGAAGGCGUUGGAUUAAAUACCAGCAUACUCCAUUUUAGGACAGCAUCCUAAAAACCAGCCAGCCCUUGGCCUAAUCGUUUCAUAUCAUCUUAUCUUUGGCUUCGGCACUUGGCCUGGCUUCCCUGUUUUAUUCCACCAUAUUACCUUUACUUGGGCCACAGAAAGAAGGAGCAAGCAACCCUGCCCUGUGCCAUGCUCCACUGCUGUCCAGCAAGAGAGGCUGGUCCAUGACGCUUCACCGUGCACUGUAUCGAGGCUAGAGUUCUCCAUCCCUAGGUUCUUCUCCCAGUCAACCACACCGCCCCCUUUGGGUGUCUUGUGCUUGCUAAUUCCAUGCUCUGUUGCUGAGUUACACUCUUAGCUGGACCCUCCCCCGAGUUGUGUUUCUGUCUUUGUUUUUUGAGACAGUUUCUCAUGUGAGCCAGGUUAAUCUUGAUUUUAUGGCUAUUAAUGACCUUGAACUCAUUAUCCUCCUGCCUCUGCCUUCUGAGUGCUGGGAAUAUCAGAGUGUGCUAUCAUUCACAGCUUUUAAUUUUUUUUUCUGAGGGUGGGGGUGGGUACUAAUUGAGGAUCCUUCAAGACUGAAAAUCUAUUGUCUUAGAUAAGAAGCAUGAACCCGGGCUGGAGAGAUGGCUCAGUGGUUAAGAGCUCUGACUGGGGCUGGAGAGAUGGCUUAGCAGUUAAGAGCACUGUCUGAUGUUCCGAAGGUCCUGAGUUCAAAUCCCAGCAACCACAUGGUGGCUCACAACCAUCUGUAAUGAGAUCUGAUACCCUCUUCUGGUGUAUCUGAAGACAGCUUCAGUGUGCUUAUUUAUAAUAAUAAAUAAAAUCUUUAAAGAGAGAGAGAGAGCUGACUGCUCGUCCAGAGGUCUAGAGUUCAAUUCCUGGCAACCACAUGGGGACUCACAACCAUCUGUAAUGGAAUGCAGUGCCCUCUUCUGGUGUGUCUAAAGAGGGCUAUAUGUACUUACAUAUAUUAAAUAAAAAAGCCUUUUUUUUUGAGAGAGAGAGAGGUGAACCCAUGCCAACCCCAACUCUGACUUUUCCUACCUACUUUGAUAAGCUACUAAAUUGACUUUCACCUCCCUCUAACGGAAGGUUCACCUAAUACUGUGUGUUUGCCUUACAUGUGCAAAGCACUAGGCUUGAUCACACACUCCAGCCCCAGGACUGUAAACUGAGCAAUGUGACGGACGAUCUGUAAUCCCAGCCAGCACCAGGGAGGUGAAAUCGGGUGACCAACAGUUCAAUUGCAUUCUCAGCAGCAUAGGGAGGUUUAAGUCAGACGGCGAUACACAAGCCCUUGUCUCAAAACAAACAAAACCCUAAGACUUCCUAACAAUAAAUACAAUCACAC